rnacentral:rRNA from 1 species
CAGUCGCCGCGGGAAUACGUAGGUCCCGAGCGUUGUCCGGAUUUAUUGGGCGUAAAGCGAGCGCAGGCGGUUAGAUAAGUCUGAAGUUAAAGGCUGUGGCUUAACCAUAGUAUGCUUUGGAAACUGUUUAACUUGAGUGCAGAAGGGGAGAGUGGAAUUCCAUGUGUAGCGGUGAAAUGCGUAGAUAUAUGGAGGAACACCGGUGGCGAAAGCGGCUCUCUGGUCUGUAACUGACGCUGAGGCUCGAAAGCGUGGGGAGCAAACAGGAUUAGAUACCCGAGUAGUCCCUGUCUCUUAUACA